GUUGAUUAAGUUGUAUUUGGAAGAACUUGGGGAGUAAGUUAUGUUUAUGUAUACAAGGAGAACAUGCUUCUAUGAAAAUAUUAUCUCAGGAAAAUAAGAAAACUGAGAGAUCUUUGUUUGGUGCUUGUGUGAUCAAGCAUUUGGAGUCAGUGUUGUGCUUUGGGUGGUGAAGUACUAGGUGAUUGAUUUUCAAAAUGUUGGAAAAUUGAAAUCUAGAUUCAGGCGGAGGCUCAUGGUUAGGUUCUUGAUAAAUAUAAAAGUCCAGACUCUAGGAUGAAUUUUAUAUUGGGAUUGAGUUAUCCUAAACAAUUCUUAUAUUGGGUUAGUCCUUUCUCCGUGUCGUCGUCUUCUUCUACACUGGAGCCUCCACGCUGUCGCCGUCUUCCACACUAGAGCUCCCUCUCCACCUCGUCUUCUACGCCGCAAGCCAACCGCCUCAUAUGAUUCAACAUGCCACAAAAUCAAACACUAAAUAGUUAGGGUUGCACGAAAUUAAAUACAGAAAAAAAAACUAGGUUCUGGGAAAAUCUUGACUUCGAAAGGGAGAGGAUAAGAAACACACAAUAUUAGACAAAUCUGGAGCACUGACUACAUCUAAUCAGUAGUCAAUAUAUAAAUCCUCAAACCUAUU
rnacentral:lncRNA from 1 species